UACAGGGGGGGCAAGCGUUGUUCGGAAUUACUGGGCGUAAAGGGCCAGUAGGCGGCCAACUAAGUCCGACGUGAAAUCCCAAGGCUUAACCUUGGAACUGCGUCGGAUACUGGAUGGCUUGAAUUCGGGAGAGGGAUGCAGAAUUCCAGGUGUAGCGGUGAAAUGCGUAGAUAUCUGGAGGAAUACCGGUGGCGAAGGCGGCAUCCUGGACCGACAUUGACGCUGAACGGCGGAAAGCUAGGGGAGCGAAACAGGG
rnacentral:rRNA from 1 species